GCUUGUCUCAAAGAUUAAGCCAUGCAUGUCUAAGUAUAAACAACUUUAUACAGUGAAACUGCAGAUGGCUCAUUAAAUCAGUUAUAAUUUAUUUGAUGAUUAACUUUACUACAUGGAUAACCGUAGUAAUUCUAGAGCUAAUACAUGCGAAAAGUCCUGACUUCUUCGUGAGGGAGGGAUGUAUUUAUUAGAUGGAAACCAAUGCGGGGCAACCCGGUAUAUGGUGAUUCAUAAUAACUUUCGGAUCGAUCUUCGGAUCGAUGCAUCAUUCAAGUUUCUGCCCUAUCAGCUUUGGAUGGUAGGGUAUUGGCCUACCAUGGCUUUAACGGGUAACGGAGAAUUAGGGUUCGAUUCCGGAGAGGGAGCCUUAAAAACGGCUACCACAUCCAAGGAAGGCAGCAGG
rnacentral:rRNA from 1 species